rnacentral:rRNA from 1 species
UGCCAGCAGCCGCGGUAAGACGAACCGGACGAACGUUAUUCGGAAUCACUGGGCUUAAAGAGUGCGUAGGCGGCUUGGUAGGUUGGGUGUGAAAUCCCACAGCUCAACUGUGGAACUGCGCUCAAAACCCCCAAGCUUGAGGAAGGCAGAGGUGAGCGGAACUGAUGGUGGAGCGGUGAAAUGCGUUGAUAUCAUCAGGAACACCGGUGGCGAAGGCGGCUCACUGGGCCUUUUCUGACGCUGAGGCACGAAAGCUAGGGUAGCGAACAGGAUUAGAUA